UAUAUUUUUAAUUAGUCUUAUAAUUUUCAUUCAUGGUCCAAAAAUUGUGAAGGAAAGAUGUGACAUAAAUUAUAUUAAAUAAUUUAUUACAUGUACUAUUAAAUAAUACAUGUAUUCUAAUUCUUUUCAGUCAAAAAAAUACUUGGAGCAUCCAUUUUAUGCUUAAUAAUAGAUGGUUUAUUCUCAUGAAAUUUCUGAUGUUUCUGGAAGUAACAUGAGGAAUAAUAAAUACUCUGUUUUUAGAACUUUUAAACAUUGGUAAAAUUAAUAUUUUCAACAAAUAUCUAUGUUUAGUCAAAGUAGGUGUAAGAAAAACUAUUUGAUUCUCAUCCUUUGAUUUUAUUAUCAGUAGCUGAUUACCUAAUAACAGGGAGGUAGUCGGUGUCUUCUCUGUGUUCUCACACAAUCUCUCCGUGCAUACAUACCCCUGCUGUCUCUUUUAUAAGGACACCAGUCAUACUGGAUUAUGGCCCCAUGCUAGCAAUGUCAUUUUAACUUAAUCACUUUCUUUAGGAGCCUUCUUUCUAAAUAUAAUUACAUUCUGAGAUACUAGGGGUUGGAAUUUUAGCACAUGAAUUGGGGGUCUGGGAGCACAGUUCAGCUCAUGAUACUUGACAGAAAUGAAAACAUGCAUCCACAUAAGAACUUGUACAUAAAUAUUUAUAGUAGCAAUGUUAAUAAUAUGUAAGUGAAAAACAACCAACUGUUCAUCAAGUGGUAUACAACUGACACAUAAAAAUAGUAUAUAUUUAUUUAAAUGUGAUAUAUAUUUCUAAUGAAAUUUAUUUGAACAUGAAAUGAAGUACUGAUACAUGUUACCACCAGAUGAACCUUGAAAGCAUGCUAGCUAAAAACACCAGCCACAAAAUACGUUUAUGUUUCCAUUUAUAUGAAAAGACUAGGAUAAUAAAAUCUUUAGCAAUAGAAAGUAUGUUAGAGGAGCUGUGAUGACUACUAAUGGAUAUGGGGCUUCUUAUGGGGUAAUGAAAAUUUUCCAACCUUAAAUUGUAAUGAUAGUUACGCAACUUUGAGUAUACUAAAAAUCAUUGACAUGCGCACUUUAAAUGGCUUCAUUUUAUGGUGUGUAUAUUAUAUCUCAAUAUAGGUAUUCCUCAAAUGUUUUUUAAUAUAAGAGCUUUUACUUAAAAAGUCUUGAAGCAUGCAAAUUCUUUGGCAGAGCCUCUUAGACAAAUAUGAAACAGAUGGUCUUCGAAAUAUGAGGCACAUAUUGUAGACAAUAUUGUACUCAGGGUCUGUGAAUCUUAUUAAUUUCUGGCAACGAGGUUAAAAUGUAGCAUCUGGACUUGGUAGCAGUAAUUGACAUGCAACUGAAGAGUUUGCAGUAGAACUGAAAUGACCAGUGCAUAGAUGAAGUUCUUAAACAUGAAACGAAGCUGUUAGGUUUUAACUCUCUCAUUAACCCUCUCUAUUCUUAGGCAAAGCCUUCAUCUGACACACUUGCCAGUUUCUAGUAAUGGCUGACUAUAAAACAUGUAACCUCAAGUAGGAUAUUCUCCCCAUCCCAGAAAUAUAACUCUAUAGUGCCAGUCUUUCUUAUUAAAUUAAAUAGUUGUGCUUAAAAUUUCCAUUAAAAAAAUACAGUUGUGGCUUGAGCUGUGGAAUGAACUAUAGGCUCUGACAUAGUCGAGAAUUCUCAACCACAGCAUGUUGACAUUUUGGACCAGAUAUUUUUUUCUUGUGGAGACUGUCCUAUGUAUUGUGAAAUGCUGAGCAAUAUCCAUGGCCUGUUCCCACUAGAUCACAGUAUAUCCCACCCCAAGUUGUGACAAAUAAAAACAUUCCCAAAUUUUCUCUGUGGGGACAAGAUGGAGAACCAUCAACUUAAGGAAAAUUAAUAGUUUUUUCAUGGUAAUAGCAGACCGUAUACAAUAAGGAAAAAUCCAUGUUUAAUUUCUCCUUCACUUAUACAAAUUCUGUUCACUUGAAGUAUUCAGAAUGUCAUCUGAAAAACGAUUUAUCAUGUAAUAACUUUAGAUGACAAUAUUCCUUGAUGAGUUUAUUUGGAAGAUUCUCAUUUUUUGCUCUAAAUUUUUAACAUAAUGCUGAAAUUCCAUCUUGGAGCCACAGGAAUCACUUGCCCUUGAACAGUUCAUUACAUUUUUAAAUGAAAAAAAAUGAAUAAAAUGAAAUUUUAUAAUCAGAUUUGCCACCUAUUAAAAUUUUGCUAAAAUUGAAACUGUGAAGUGAUGAAUGUGUUAAUGAGCUUGAUUGUGAUUACUUCAGAAUAUAUGCAUACAUCAAAACAUUACAUUGUAUAUCUUAAAUAUGUACUAUUUUAUUGGUUCUUUUUAGUUAUUCAUGACAGUAGAAUUCAUUUGAAUAUAAUUAUGCAAGCAUGGAAUAUAUCUUUAUUCUAAUUAACAGCCCAUAGUUAUGGAUAUACACAAUGGUGGGAUUCACUAUGGUUUAUUCAUAUGUGUACAUAGAAAAGUUAUGUCAGAUUCACUUCACUGUCUUUCUUAUUCCUAUCCCCCCUCCCUUCCCUUCAUUCCCCUUUGACUAAUCUACUGAAAUUCUGUUCUUCCCCUCGCCCCCAUUAUCGGAGGUUAGCUUUCACAUGUCAACAAAAAUAUUUGACCUUUGGCUUUUGGGGUCUGGCUUAUAUCCCUUAGUAUGAUAGUCUCCAAAUCCAUCCAUUUACUGGCAAAUGUCUUGAAGUCCUUCUUUAUGGCUGAGUAAAAUACAUACUAUUUUUAUAUGUCAGUUGUACCUCAA
rnacentral:lncRNA from 1 species